UACGGAGGGUGCAAACGUUGCUCGGAAUCAUUGGGCGUAAAGCGCACGUAGGCGGCCUGUUAAGUCGGAUGUGAAAGCCCCGGGCUCAACCCGGGAAGUGCAUUCGAAACUGGCGGGCUUGAAUAUGGAAGAGGGUCGCGGAAUUCCAGGUGUAGCGGUGAAAUGCGUAGAUAUCAGGAGGAACACCGAUGGCGAAGGCAGGUCUCUGGGCCGAUACUGACGCUGAGGAGCGAAAGCGUGGGGAGCGAACAGG
rnacentral:rRNA from 1 species